GCGGGGUGGAGCAGCCUGGUAGCUCGUCGGGCUCAUAACCCGAAGGUCGUCGGUUCAAAUCCGGCCCCCGC
rnacentral:tRNA from 55 species